UACGGGGGGGGCAAGCGUUGUUCGGAAUUACUGGGCGUAAAGGGCGCGUAGGCGGCACGGAUAGUUGGGUGUGAAAGCCCGGAGCUUAACUCCGGAAUGUCACUCAAUACUUCCGAGCUAGAGUGUGGAAGGGGCAAUCGGAAUUCUUGGUGUAGCGGUGAAAUGCGUAGAUAUCAGGAAGAACACCUGUGGCGAAGGCGGAUUGCUGGGCUAACACUGACGCUGAGGCGCGAAAGCUAGGGGAGCGAACGGG
rnacentral:rRNA from 1 species